rnacentral:rRNA from 1 species
ACUCCUACGGGAGGCAGCAGUGAGGAAUAUUGGACAAUGGGCGCAAGCCUGAUCCAGCCAUGCCGCGUGCAGGAUGACGGUCCUAUGGAUUGUAAACUGCUUUUGCACAGGAAGAAACAACUCUACGUGUAGAGUCUGACGGUA